UGCCUCUUUCUUGAAUCUUUCCUUGCCUUCCAAGUCUGAGGCCAAUUUCAUAUUUCACCCUGGAAGCUGUCCAGUUUAUAAAACCAACAUUUAUGUGUUUGCUUAGUUUUUUUCAUGGUGAAGAAGCUGAAUGAAAAACUUGAUAUUUAUCCCCUGAAUACAGAGGAGCUUGGCCCUACCUAACUUCCCCCUGCUCCCAAAAAUGCCAAGUUAAGCAGCAAUGUUAUACUCUCACCUCCCUACCUCAAGGUAAUCAAGCUUUUUAUUACCAUUCAGAUGAGCAGAUUAUAUGUCAACUUUUCAAAAGUAAAAAAAAAAAAAAUUUUGGAUAAGCACUGAUCUCUUUAUGUCUCAUCUUUUCCCUCCUUUGUUUUAAAAAAAAGCUUUAGUGUAAGGUUUACACAUAGAAUUCUGGAUAUGGUAAAGCUUAAAAUGUCUAUUUUGUACCCUACUAACCAACUUUUUGAAGAUACAUAAUUUGUAAUUGUCCUUUUUCAUAUUUUUGAACUUCUAUUCUUACUAAUGUGUUUUUAAAAAUAAAACUUGGAAAUAUUAUUAAGCAUUUCCAAUAUUUACUUUACAUAAUCUAAUAAAUUUGAUGAACUCUAGAAGGAAUCAGCAAUC